rnacentral:rRNA from 1 species
UACAGAGGGUGCAAGCGUUAAUCGGAUUUACUGGGCGUAAAGCGUGUGUAGGUGGUUGUUCAAGUCGGUUGUGAAAUCCCCGGGCUCAACCUGGGAAUUGCUUCCGAGACUGAGCGACUAGAGUACGGUAGAGGGCGGUGGAAUUUCCGGUGUAGCGGUGAAAUGCGUAGAUAUCGGAAGGAACACCAAUGGCGAAGGCAGCCGCCUGGGCCUGUACUGACACUGAGACACGAAAGCGUGGGGAUCAAACAGG